CAAGAGCGUAUGUAAAAGUUGUUGCAGUUAAAAAGCUCGUAGUUGAACCUUGAGUUUGGUUGGCCGGUCCGCUUUUUUGCGAGUACUGGAUUCAACCGAGCCUUUCCUUCUGGCUAACCAGUCGUUUCGGCGGCUGGCGAACCAGGAUUUUUACUUUGAGAAAAUUAGAGUGUUCAAAGCAGGCAUUAGCUUGAAUAUAUUAGCAUGGAAUAAUAGAAUAGGACGUUAUGGUUCUAUUUUGUUGGUUUCUAGGACCAUCGUAAUGAUUAAUAGGGACGGUCGGGGGCAUCAGUAUUCAGUUGUCAGAGGUGAAAUUCUUGGAUUUACUGAAGACUAACUACUGCGAAAGCAUUUGCCAAGGACGUUUUCAUUAA
rnacentral:rRNA from 1 species